GAUGAACGCUAGCGGCAGGCUUAAUACAUGCAAGUCGAGGGGUAACAUGGGGUAGCAAUACUCUGAUGACGACCGGCAAACGGGUGCGGAACACGUACGCAACUUUCCCAAAACUGGUGAAUAGCCCUCCGAAAGGAGGAUUAAUACACCGUAACAUAUAGAGGUGGCAUCGCCUUUAUAUUAUAGCUCCGGCGGUUUUGGAUGGGCGUGCGCCUGAUUAGGUAGUUGGUGUGGUAACGGCUCACCAAGCCUACGAUCAGUAACUGGUGUGAGAGCACGACCAGUCACACGGGCACUGAGACACGGGCCCGACUCCUACGGGAGGCAGCAGUAAGGAAUAUUGGUCAAUGGACGAAAGUCUGAACCAAGCCAUGCCGCGUGAAGGAUGAAGGCCCUCUGGGUUGUAAACUUC
rnacentral:rRNA from 1 species